AAGUCAUCAGCAACAGCUGGGAUGCACACCUGGGGCUGGGGGCCUGCGGAGAGGCCGAGGGCCUGGGGAGGAGGCUGAAGGAGUCCCUGCAGAACUGGUUCCGGGCCGAGUGUCUCAUGGACUAUGACCCGCGGGGGAACCGGCUGGUGUGCAUGGCCUGUGGCCGGGCACUGCCCAGCCUGCACCUGGACGACAUCCGUGCCCACGUGCUGGAGGUGCACCCUGGCUCCCUGGGGCUCAGCGGCCCCCAGCGCAGUGCCCUGCUGCAGGCCUGGGGGGGCCAGCCCGAGGCGCUGUCUGAGCUCACCCAGUCCCCACCAGGCGACGUUCCGCUGUCCCCUGGAGCUCCCU
rnacentral:lncRNA from 1 species